CACAGUGGGGCAAAAACGAAAGUAAAAACCCGAAGGCACUCCCCGUCGGAAUGGAAGCAGCCAGACGUGAAGAAGAGAACGGCAGAUGAGCUCAUUCUUUAUCCUUGGCGCCAUCCGCCAUCUUGAUACUCCCAAAACAAACCAUGCCGACCUGUGCGUUAAUUGCCAGUUUCGUGGCUGUGAGAAAACAUACCACAGAUGGCAAACUUUUGAGAAAAACCCCGCCAUAAUCCAACCGGUAAACCAUGUCCCCCACGCGUUUUGGGAGCACCAAGAUGGCGGCCAACAGGCUUCUACCGCUCGAUGUGUUUGCACGCUUCAGCCUUUUUUUUUUUUUAGAUCAGUGUCUUCAACCAGUUACGCUGAGCUGUAUUCACUUACAUCUUUUCAAACGCUGUAUCCAAUGAAAGCCCAUUUACCACAAAAAAACAACUUUAUUGUCAGUAAUAGUUCUACAGUUGACAGUAUUUGUCAUUUUACCUGUGACAUCAAAUGUAACAUUUCAUGGUUCAAGUAGAAAACCACCAUGAGAUCGUUUUUGUAUUUUACUGGAUGUAUGUGAAGGCAGCAAAGUUGUGUGUAGCACCCAAUCAAUGCACUUUUUAAGCAAACAUUUUAAGCCAGAGGCACAACAAAAUGUCUUUUUUUUUUUUUAAACCUCUGUUCUAUCAUGUAUGUUUUAAGCGCGAAAGAAUCCAAAACACGAACAAAACACUGACAGUGAUUGUGACAAACCAGACCUAAAAUGUUCAUUGAAACGUUGACUUUCCACCGUUAACUUCAUUUUGUGGUCUUUUUUUCAUAUUUAAAUUAAAAAAAAAAAAAAAAAAAAAAUCAACAAAAAGGAAAAGCAAAAAGCGCAGCCGAGAGCUUCAAGUGUGUCAGUAACUGAAGGCAAUGUGGCUUUCAAGUCCCCGAGGUCCAGUUUUUGGCGACUCAACAAGAGGAAUGAUGUGAAAAUAUCAUAAAUAAAAUUGGUUUCUGGUGUGAAACUUUGGUGCUGUGGUUGUGUCGCGUUUGAGUCCCGUGCAAAAAAAAAAAAA